UCACUCAAUCCAGUCCACACACUCUUCCUGAUAGAUAUCCCUUCAUGUACUAUACAACUUAAAAACAAGAAUCGAAAGACAAAACAUACAGCAGAAAACAAUGGGGACCGAAACCGCUUCAAUGUCCUCUCUAGCGUCACGCAUAUGCAAUCACAUGGCCUCCAUCUUUGCCAAACCCACUGGCCCCCACCCACCACCCUUAGACCUCAUGGUCACCACUCUCACUUCCACGGCAGCCCAAAAUGGUAGUGUCUUCCUCUAUGGGGUUGGUAGGGAGGGCCUGAUGCUCAAGGCUCUGUGCAUGAGGCUGGCUCACCUUGGCAUCUCUACCCACUUUGUCUUUGACAUGACAACCCCACCAAUCACUUCAAAUGACCUCCUCAUAGCCUCUGCUGGACCUGGAGGAUUCUCAACUGUUGAUGCCUUAUGCUCACUCGCAAGAUCGUAUGGUGCUACAGUGUUGUUGUUGACGGCUCAGCCUGAGACAGGAUCCUGUGUGAAGCAUGCUAGCGUGGUUUGUUAUCUGCCAGCACAGACCAUGGCUGAUGAUAAGGGUGAUGGCGAUGGCGGAGAGGAGAAAUCUAGGCCUUUGAUGCCAAUGGGAAGUGUUUUUGAGGGGGCCUUGUUUGUGUUCUUUGAGAUGGUUGUUUACAAGUUAGGUGAGGCUUUAGGACAGAGCCCUGAGGUCAUUCGAUCUCGGCAUACCAACCUUGAAUGAAAAAAAUGGAUUUCUUUCCAGCAAUUUUGUAGGCACUCCAAAAUCUCCAUCUGUUGAGCAAAAUCACGUCAGUCCUCCCUUUCUCUGUGAAGAGUUGAUCCGCCUCCCAUGCCGGAUUAUGGAUUAGAUCAUGUCAUCUCUUCAAAGUCAUCAUCGUGUUUACGGAGCUGUACAUGGAAACUUUCCAUUAAAAUGGAUGCGCAUGCCUCCAGUCACUUCUUCUUCAAGGUUAGAGAUGUACAUGAAAACCUCACUCUGAAUUGUUGCUUCACUUUCGUUUUU